rnacentral:rRNA from 1 species
CAGCUAGUUGGUGAGGUAACGGCUCACCAAGGCGACGAUCAGUAUCCGGCCUGAGAGGGCGGACGGACACACUGGGACUGAGACACGGCCCAGACUCCUACGGGAGGCAGCAGUGGGGAAUUGUUCGCAAUGGGCGCAAGCCUGACGACGCAACGCCGCGUGGAGGAUGAAGACCUUCGGGUCGUAAACUCCUUUCGAUCGAGACGAACGGCCUCCGGGUGAACAAUCCGGAGGAGUGACGGUACCGAGAGAAGAAGCCCCGGCUAACUCCGUGCCAGCAGCCGCGGUAAUACGGGGGGGGCAAGCGUUGUUCGGAAUUACUGGGCGUAAAGGGCUCGUAGGCGGCCAACUAAGUCAGACGUGAAAUCCCUCGGCUUAACCGGGGAACUGCAUCUGAUACUGGAUGGCUUGAGAUCGGGAGAGGGAUGCGGAAUUCCAGGUGUAGCGGUGAAAUGCGUAGAUAUCUGGAGGAACACCGGUGGCGAAGGCGGCAUCCUGGACCGACACUGACGCUGAGGAGCGAAAGCCAGGGGAGCAAACGGGAUUAGAUACCCCGGUAGUCCUGGCCCUAAACGAUGAAUGCUU